AAAAUGAAGAAGGUUUAAUUAAAAGGGCUGAAAUGUUUUAGCCGGUUCAUUGUGUAAAAAGUCCCAAGGACAGAAAACCUUAAGCCCCAAAUUGAUCCGAUUGAAACCCAAAAAUCAGUGUUUAAUCUCUUCGAUUUGGCUCGAAAUCGUUCAAGGUCGUUGUUGAAGCUUUAAGGAUUUGAAGAUUUAUCCAUUCUUCUCCCUCAAUUUAGCCAAGGUCGAUAUGUAUCAAAAUUGGAGCAAGCUGUGUUUGAGUUACAUAAGGACCAUUUCUCUUUGACCAAAAUGAAAUCUUAUGCAAAGAACAUUGGGUUGUAUCUGAAACAUGUGAAUAUUGAAGAAGGGAGCCCCAUUGUUGGAAUUGUUUUGGGACCAUUGGUUGGUGGAAAAAAUAAUGAAGAAUUGGGGGGUAGCUCUAGGGUUUCACAACUUGAGGAAUCAAGAUGACAUGUUCCAAAUGCCAUCAAGUUGGCCACAAUAAAAGGGGCUGCAAAUCAGUGCCUUCUCAACAGACCACUCAACAACUCACUUAACAACCAUCAAGAUCAAGGCCAGAAACUUCAAGAGUUAGAGGAAGUAGAAAACAAACAGCAACUCAUCAAGUUCAAGGGCAGAAGUUGGUUCUUCAACUACAAGGGCAACAUCUUCUUCAAUUGGAAAAAAAGAACAAGAGAUGUGGGAUUUAGUGUUUGCAUAGACACACAAUCUGAAAGACAAGUGAUCAAUGUAUGUAUAUCUAUUAGCUAAUUUCCUUAGAUAUGUAUAAUGUAAAGUGUAUAACAUUUAUGAAUUUUGCGGUCUGGGAGACCAAGUGAAAGAGUUAUCUCAAGUGGGGCAACAAUAAAGGAUGCAUCACUAACAACUAUUGAUCUUGGAUUCAAGCCACCUGGACUGAGGUGGAAAAAUAAAGAUGCUAUCACUGGAAACUAGCUUGAAGUAAUGCAGCAGUGUAAAAAGUUGGAAAUCAGAUCCAUAGCUAAGACUUGGCGGCCAUAAGAGUUCAAGUUCAUUUGAUAUAAUUUUUGUAAACCCAAGUUCUAGCAGUUCUGGUGGCAUUUAGACUUGCCUUUAAACUAUUUAUUCCAACUACUUAACAUUUAUUCAUUUUGAUGUAUGUUUUGGUUAUUUUGAUGUAUGUUUGGCUUUUGGAUGUUUUGUGAAGCCUUUUGGCAAAAUUGGCAGAUUUAUGAAGAUAGUUUUAUGCAUAGUUUGAUUGAA